UCGCCCUGUUUUACAAAAACAUGGCCUUAUGAUUAUAAUAUAAGGUUUUACCUGCCCACUGAAAUUUGAAGGGCUGCAGUAUUCUGACUGUGCUAAGGUAGCAAAAUAAGUAGUCUUUUGAUUGUAGACUGGAAUGAACGGUUUGACGAGAUAAUAACUGUCUCUAUAAUUUAUAUUGAAAUUGAAUUUUAAGUAAAAAUGCUUAAAUAAAAGUAAGGGACGAUAAGACCCUGUAGAGUUUUAUAAAUGAUUUAUUUACAAUAAUAAAAAUAUUUAGCUGGGGUAGCUUGGUAUGAAAGAACUUACCAUAUUAAUACUAUAUAAUAGGACAAAGGAGCUUUUAUUAAAGAAUGGAGAGUAAAUUACCUUAGGGAUAACAGAUUAAUUUUUCUGGAGAGUACACAUCGAUAGACGAGUUUGAGACCUCGAUGUUGGAUUAAGAAAAUAAUUAGAUGCAGGAGUUUAAUUAAUAAGUCUGUUCGACUUUUAAAAUCUUACGUGAUCUGAGU
rnacentral:rRNA from 1 species